AAGCGCUCCAUUUUACAGCUGAGUGCUGGUCCUCUCAUUUUUACCUGUUUCAUUUUUACUGAAAGGUUCUACUGGACAAGGAAAACUAUUGCCAGCCUGAGAUUUCCUUCUGAGUAAUAUUUAAAGGGCACAACUGGCUGGCAGAGAGGGCUGCAGUAGGUGGGGGUACACACCCACAGCACACUCAUGGAUUACCGAGGUUAACUGAGGGAAACAUCAUGGGAAACUGAAGGAAGUGGAUUGGAAAUACUCCAAGUAAAGGGUUACACACUGGUGAGCAAUUACUCCCACACAGCCCGGCAGCCCCUCUACCUACACGAAGGGCAAUGGACUCAAAAAGGGCCUGCCCCCAGCACACAAGUGAGGAGGAAGACAGAGAGAAGAGCCAACAAAACAGGAAGGAAAAGGGAUCUACACUGUCUACGGAAUAACAGUUAUUCCAAUUACAUACCUGGAGCCAUCUCCAAGUGAAUAGUACUGGCACAUCAGUAAGGUUUUGUGCCAAAGCAAAAUUAGUGAUGUUCUGCUGGCUGCUGCUGGAUCAAAUUUCU